CAGCAGCCACGGUAAUACGUAGGUGGCAAGCGUUGUCCGGAAUUAUUGGGCAUAAAGGGCUCGCAGGCGGUUUCUUAAGUCUGAUGUGAAAGCCCCCGGCUCAACCGGGGAGGGUCAUUGGAAACUGGGAAACUUGAGUGCAGAAGAGGAGAGUGGAAUUCCACGUGUAGCGGUGAAAUGCGUAGAGAUGUGGAGGAACACCAGUGGCGAAGGCGACUCUCUGGUCUGUAACUGACGCUGAGGAGCGAAAGCGUGGGGAGCGAACAGGAUUAGAUACCCCCGUAGUCCCUGUCUCUUAUAC
rnacentral:rRNA from 1 species